GACGAACCGUACAGACGUUAUUCGGAAUCACUGGGCUUAAAGGGUGCGUAGGCUGCGCGGAAAGUUGGGUGUGAAAUCCCUCGGCUCAACCGAGGAACUGCGCCCAAAACUGCCGUGCUCGAGGGAGACGAGAGGUGAGCGGAACCUAGGGUGGAGCGGUAGAAAUGCGUUGAUAUCCUAAGGAACACCGGUGGCGAAAGCGGCUCACUGGGUCUCUUCUGAACGCUGAGG
rnacentral:rRNA from 1 species